rnacentral:tRNA from 1 species
GACUCUGUAGUUCAGUUGGUUAGAGCACUGCGACGGUAUCGCAGGGCCGCAGGUUCGAUUCCUGCCAGGGACC